rnacentral:SRP_RNA from 1 species
GCUGGGUGUGUUGUCAUGCGCCUGUAGUCCCAGCUAUUCAGGAAGCUGAGGCAGGUGGAUCACUUGAGCCCAGGAGGUGGAGGCUGCAGUGAGCUGUGAUAAUGCCACUGCACUCCAGCCUGGGCAACAGAGUGAGACCCAGUCUCAA